AGGUUCAAGCACCUCAUCAAACUUCCCAAAGGUUUCCCUGAUGGCCACAGUUGACUGAUCCACCUGAAUACAACCUAAAGCUUGUCCCAUUUUCUGAUUAUACCUAAUUCAGAACAGCUACGAAAAUCAAUGAUAAUCUAUUGACCAAUUAAAGGAAGCAAAAGCAAUAGAAAUUCAACGAAUUGGCCCAUGUAAGAACUAGAAUAGAGGGCCUUCUUGAAAAAGCUGUCACUAUCUGUCAAAUGCAUCCAGAACAUCACAAAUCCAGUUAAACACAAACUAUCGUAUGUCAGAAUAGCAUUGAGAUGGUAUAAUGGAAACUUGAAAGCUGUGAAUUAUAUCUGUAACCUAUUAAGCAGUCAAACAAAAACGUAAAAAGCAACAUUAGAACAAAAACACACAUAAUUUUUGUCCUAAAUUUUAUGACCAUGAAAUCAAAUUCAUGUGAUCAUGCAAUUUCCUUACCAAGCAUUUCUUUCUCUUUCAGACAUUGAAACAAAGGCUUGUCUAUCAUAAAACAAUCUAAAGCUUUAUAGCCAAAGCAAUACUAAAUAAAAUUCACUACGUACUAGAAAUAAAUAAAAAAAGAGGGGCUAACAGACAGAAAUUGACACAGUUCUUCACAGCAGAUUGGAAAAAGCAGCUUCAAAGCAAGCUUCUCUAUACGAGAUGUCUGUAAAUGGAAUAUUACAAGAAGUGAUUAAACCGGUCCCUGUAUAAAAUCUCAAUUACAUCAGAGAGGCUAUCCCAAAUAAUACCUACCUCCUAUCAACUACCCAUGUAAUAGCCUAGCAAUAUAGUUGGCUUUAAAAUUGUUUCUUCUUCUACAAGAAAAUUCGCUGAAAAUUUCAAAACCAUUGAC
rnacentral:lncRNA from 1 species